AGGGAUGUAGCUCAGUGGUAGAGCACUUGGCUUUGUAUGCCUGAGGUUCUGGGUUCAGUCCCCAGAAACCUUC
rnacentral:tRNA from 1 species